CGGUGGAGGAGCCGCUGCUGGUGAACACAAUCAGAGGGAAAAAGGUUGAGAGGGCACCAAUCUGGCUCAUGAGGCAAGCCGAGAGUGCCUCAAGAUUCUGAAGGUUUCCGUCAACCUGACAUGCACCACGGAAUGGAGGUUCGCCUUGGUUUGUCCAAGGGACCUACUGCCCUAGCUUCAGUUGAGGCAGUGAAUGUAGUUCUGCGGUUCUGCCGCACGUUGAUGCACCUUAGUCCAGUACACUCGGGUCAAUAAAAGACCACAUUAGGAUGGUGAAACGGUGAAAACUGAUGGCUUGCAUAUGUUCAGAGUGUUAUGUUGUAA